rnacentral:lncRNA from 1 species
GGGAGGACAGGGUGGAAACAGUUGAAAUUUUUCUACUUAUUUUACACCCAGUAGGAGAUAAUAAAAUUAUACUGCUUUCAUUGGGCAGGGCUCUUGUGCUCAGGUGGGAAUUAUUUAUUUCUUAUUUUGGCCAAGAGAAUGAAGUGAUGGUGGAUUAUAGUUUUUGUUCCACGCAGCACUCUGGCACAGUACUUGUUUUUAUGCCUUUUCUCCCCCUUUCAGCAGCCCAGUCCCUAUCAAGAGUUCAAGACAUUUUUGUGCUUUGUGUUUUUUUUUAAGAGCAAAAUUUUGCUUUGACCAACUCACCUCUGCAGCCUAAUGUGAUUAAUAAUAUUGUGCUUAUUAAAUGAAAUUCCAUUUAUAGAUCAGAAGUUUAUUGGGAUGGAUGUAAGUUUUCUUCCUCUGAAUCUAUAGUACAUGUUGCUGAGGAGGAUGAAGAAGCCAGGUAUCAAUGAGAUUCCUGUCAGAACUGGCAAUAGUUAGGAGAGUAGGGACUCAAGGGUGAGAGUAAAGAACUAGGAAGAAGAUCCAGAAAGAUGAGAUAAGGAGAAAGUGGAGGGGAAAUAAUAGAGUAUCACACCUACCCUUUCCCUCACCCCCUUCAGAAGCUUUGAAAAAGAAUACAAGCUAAAGAAAAAAAAACACAUUUGGAAAAAUAAAAAACUCUAAUAAACUUCUUCAAAAGCAUGCUUAUGAACAACAUUGUGCUUUGGGGUCUAUUUAGUACAGGAUUUAAGCCAGAUCUCCCGUUCUUCAAGGUUAGUCAGUAAUCCAACUAUUUUGGGGGAGGUUUGUGCUACAUCACAUCCCUUUGAGAGGAAGUCACUUCUCUACUGAAUUACCAAGUUGUGAAACUGCUCUCAUCCAACAGUGGAUAGAGUGCUGGGCUUGGAGUUCAAACCCUGCCUCAGACACUUCCUAGGGAUAAUAAUAGCACCCACUUCCCAAGUUGGUUGUGAGAAUCAAAUGAGAAUUGUAAAGGGCUCAGUCACAAAAAGGGCUGUACAAAUGUUUGCUGUUUUUAUUAUCUACUCUAAUCCCCACUGAAAAGGCAUCUCCCUCUACCAUCACCCACAGACAGACAUCCUCAGAGCUGUACCUAGCCAUCUGGGCACUCACUGCAAGGACUGUGAGAGAGAACUGGACACUUAUGGCCCAAG